GAUGAACGCUGGCGGCGUGCCUAAUACAUGCAAGUCGAGCGAACGGACGAGAAGCUUGCUUCUCUGAUGUUAGCGGCGGACGGGUGAGUAACACGUGGAUAACCUACCUAUAAGACUGGGAUAACUUCGGGAAACCGGAGCUAAUGCCGGAUGAUAUUUUGAACCGCAUGGUUCAAAAGUGAAAGACGGUCUUGCUGUCACUUAUAGAUGGAUCCGCGCUGCAUUAGCUAGUUGGUAAGGUAACGGCUUACCAAGGCAACGAUGCAUAGCCGACCUGAGAGGGUGAUCGGCCACACUGGAACUGAGACACGGUCCAGACUCCUACGGGAGGCAGCAGUAGGGAAUCUUCCGCAAUGGGCGAAAGCCUGACGGAGCAACGCCGCGUGAGUGAUGAAGGUCUUCGGAUCGUAAAACUCUGUUAUUAGGGAAGAACAUAUGUGUAAGUAACUGUGCACAUCUUGACGGUACCUAAUCAGAAAGCCACGGCUAACUACGUG
rnacentral:rRNA from 1 species